GUGAACUAUUAAAUAAAUAGAACAUUUAGUAUUACAGUAUGUCUUAAUUUUAACCCAGCUUCUUUAAGCGUGUAUGUUGUGUGGCUUUUGGAACAUAACGUUACAUUUUUUUUGUGAGUAAAGUUAGGCAUUUCAUUUCUCUUGUUGUAUUUCAGAAAUCAUAACAGCCUGUCUUUUUUUAGCACAGCGGCAUUCAAAUUGACCAAUCAGAGCCGAGAAUAUCUAAUAAGUCGAAGUAGAGAUGAACAGAUGAAGAUACAGCCCGUAAAAAUACUUAUUCUUGGUGAGUGCCAUGUAGCGACGGAUCAAACGGACACUCAUGUCAAGCUUGAUGAGGACACAGUCAAAGCUUUAAAAGACCUUGUGAUUAAGUCUUCAGUGUCUGAAUGGCAAGAAGAAGUGACCCUCCACUUAAACGUGACAUUUAAACUUCUCUGUGUUUUGGUUCAGCCAUUUGUAGGUUUAUCUCGAGUAAGUUCAAAUGCACUUCUGCAUUUGUCCAGUAACUUUUUGUUUAGAGAAUUACAUCAUUAUGAUUAUAUAAUUAUUCAAUGGUUGCAUAUUCAUAGUG